rnacentral:rRNA from 1 species
AUGGAGGCGGUGGAGCCGUCGGCGGUGGUGAGCUGCGUGUGCUGCCGCCUGGAGGAGGAGUGCACCGGCGAGUACGUCGUCGGCGUGAGGGCCUACUUCGGGGGCCGGUGGCUGUGCGGGCUGUGCUCCGAGUCGGUCAAGUACGAGGCCGGCCGCAGCAAGCGCGCGGCGGCCAUGGGAAUGGAGGAGGCCGUGCAGGCGCACAUGGCCUUCUGCCGCAUGCUCCGGCGCAGCGGCCCCGCGGUGCGCGUCGCCGAGGGCAUGUGCCAGAUGCUUAGGCGCACCGCGUGCGGGAAGCACCGGGCCGCCAUCUCAUCGUCCUCGUCGCGGCGGACGACGCCGGUGCCGGUGGCGUCAGCGUCUGGACCGCACCACCGCGCGUCGGUGGCGCCGCUGUCGAUCGGUCUAUGA